CGCGUAUUUUGCUCAGGCGGAGCUCGACCGCCGGUCCAGGACAUGAUCGCUUUCAUUGAGGAACACCGCAACGCCAUCGGGGUCGAGCCGAUCUGCAAACACCUGCCGAUUGCCCCA
rfam:Thalassobacter arenae DSM 19593 genomic scaffold Contig203, whole genome shotgun sequence.